rnacentral:rRNA from 1 species
AGAUUGAACGCUGGCGGCAUGCCUAACACAUGCAAGUCGAACGGGAGUAGCAAUACUCUAGUGGCGGACGGGUGAGGAAUACGUAGGAAUUUGCCCUUAAGUGGGGGAUAACCCGGGGAAACCCGGAUUAAUACCGCAUGACCUCGAAAGAGCAAAGUGGGGGAUCGCAAGACCUCACGCUUUUGGAGAAGCCUACGUCGGAUUAGCUAGUUGGUGAGGUAAUGGCUCACCAAGGCGACGAUCCGUAACUGGUCUGAGAGGAUGAUCAGUCGCACCGGAACUGAGACACGGUCCGGACUCCGUACGGGAGGCAGCGAGGUAGGGGAAUAGUGGACAAGUGGGCGCAAGCCUGAUCCAGCAAGUCGCCGUCGUGUGUAGAAGGAAGGCCGUU